rnacentral:snoRNA from 1 species
AUCCUUUUCCUGUUCAUAAACAUGAUGAUUGCAUUGUCACACGCUUGUGUGACAUGUGUCUCCCUCAAACCUUGUUAGAAUGUGAGCACAUCUGACU